CAUCGCCUGCGGUGUUCGACUGUUUCCCUAAUCCCUUAGAACCUAAAUGACAUAUCGGGGAUUGCCUUGCAGGCGUUGUUGUGCAGGUCCGGAUUGUUUGAUGACCGGAAAGCCUUAAGAUGUCGCAGGUGCCCCACCUGAACCUAUUGGUUCAAGGUACCCGGAACGGUACGGCACAAGCGGGCGAUGC
rnacentral:other from 1 species